UUUCCUACGGGAGGCAGCAGUGGGGAAUAUUGGGCAAUGGGCGCAAGCCUGACCCAGCAACGCCGCGUGAAGGAAGAAGGCUUUCGGGUUGUAAACUUCUUUUAAGAGGGAAGAGUAGAAGACGGUACCUCUUGAAUAAGCCACGGCUAACUACGUGCCAGCAGCCGCGGUAAUACGUAGGUGGCAAGCGUUAUCCGGAUUUAUUGGGUGUAAAGGGCGUGUAGGCGGGAAAGCAAGUCAGAUGUGAAAACUCAGGGCUCAACCCUGAGCCUGCAUUUGAAACUGUUUUUCUUGAGUGGUGGAGA
rnacentral:rRNA from 1 species